GUGAAAGCAUAUCAUGCAGUCAUUCAAGAAUAUGCUAUGUAAACAGGUUAAGAGGAUAACCUAACGUGUUGUACUCAAAUACAAAGGCAAGAAAAACAUGCACACAAAUUUAAGGGGAAAAAAAAAGCUCCCUCUGAGAAGAAAUAAAAUGGGAUAAUUGCAUAAGUAGUCCUCCAAGUCUUCAACUUUAUUUGAUAUUCUACUUAAGACAUUGAAGCUUUGAACUUUUUAAAAUACCCCAUGAGUCACUUUUCACUUCAAUAUUUUGAACCGAAAGCAAAGUCGUGUAAGUGAAAUUUCACAGGAAUAUUUGAUAAGUUAAAAAAGUGAAUGUAUUAAAAAGUUAAUAUAAGCAAAAUCUCAAAUUUAUAGAGAAAUACAGGUCUUUCAGAGAGAGAGAGAGA
rnacentral:misc_RNA from 1 species